rnacentral:rRNA from 1 species
AGCAGUGGGGAAUAUUGCGCAAUGGCCGAAAGGCUGACGCAGCGACGCCGCGUGGGGGAUGAAGCAUUUCGGUGUGUAAACCCCUGUUGCUCGGGACGAACAACUGGUUUAGACCAGUCUGACGGUACCGGGUGAGGAAGCACCGGCUAACUCCGUGCCAGCAGCCGCGGUAAUACGGAGGGUGCGAGCGUUGUCCGGAAUCACUGGGCGUAAAGGGCGCGUAGGCGGUCUGCUAAGCGUGCGGUGAAAGCCUGGGGCUCAACCCCAGGUCUGCCGUGCGAACUGGUGGACUAGAGCACUGUAGAGGCAGGUGGAAUUCCGGGUGUAGCGGUGGAAUGCGUAGAGAUCCGGAAGAACACCGGUGGCGAAAGCGGCCUGCUGGGCAGUUGCUGACGCUGAGG